rnacentral:rRNA from 1 species
GCAGCCGCGGUAAUUCCAGCUCAAUAGCGUAUAUUAAGUUGUUAGCAGUUAAAAGCUCGUAGUUGAAUUUCGGGAUCAAUUCGUCGGUCGUGCUUUUGGUACGUACUGGCGUUAUUGGUUUCUCCUUCUGACGAGCCAUGAUGUCAUUAAUUUGGUGUUAUGGGAGUCAGGACUGUUACUUUGAAAAAUUAGAGUGUUUAAAGCAGGCAUUAGCUUGAAUACAUUAGCAUGGAAUAAUGAAAUAGGACGUUCGAUCCUAAUUUUGUUGGUUUCUAGGAUCAACGUAAUGAUUAAUAGGGAUAGUUGGGGGCAUUAGUAUUCAAUUGUCAGAGGUGAAAUUCUUGGAUUUAUUGAAGACUAACUACUGCGAAAGCAUUUGCCAAGGAUGUUUUCAUUAAUCAAGAACGAAAGUUAGGGGAUCGAAGACGAUCAGAUACCGUCGUAGUCUUAACCAUAAACUAUGCCGACUAGGGAUCGGAUGAUGUUAAUUUUUUAAUGACUCAUUCGGCGCCUUACG